rnacentral:rRNA from 1 species
AGCAGCCGCGGUAAUUCCAGCUCCAAUAGCGUAUAUUAAAGUUGUUGCAGUUAAAAAGCUCGUAGUUGAAUUUCGGGGUCAGUAGGUCGGUCGUGCCACUGGUAUGCACUGGUCUCACUGAUUCCUCCUUCUUGUAGAACCGUAAUGCCAUUAAGUUGGUGUUGCGGGGAAACAGGACUGUUACUUUGAAAAAUUAGAGUGUUUAAAGCAAGCUAACGCUUGAAUACAUUAGCAUGGAAUAAUGAAAUAGGAUGAACGAUCCUAUUUUGUUGGUUUCUAGGAUUGACGUAAUGAUUAAUAGGGAUAGUUGGGGCAUUAGUAUUCAAUUGUCAGAGGUGAAAUUCUUGGAUUUAUUGAAGACUAACUACUGCGAAAGCAUUUGCCAAGGAUGUUUCAUUAAUCAAGAACGAAAGUUAGGGA